ensembl:ncRNA ZC247.5 ncRNA
CUCAUUCAUGAAUUGAGGAAUUUCCACUGAAUCACAUUCUACCGUCAUCUCAUUCCGCUCGUCUUCUAUUACCGUAAUCCUUCAGUUUUAUUUCCAAUUUCUGCGCGAAAUGGCAUUGUUUCAGUAGGAGGUGACAAGCCCGAAAUGGGAU